GACGAACGCUGGCGGCGUGCUUAACACAUGCAAGUCGAACGGGUCUGCCCUGUUUUUUGCGGGGUGGGUCAGUGGCGAACGGGUGAGUAACACGUGAGUAACCUGCCCCUCACUUCUGGAUAACCGCUUGAAAGGGUGGCUAAUACGGGGUGUUCUGGCUGUGCCGCAUGGUGUGGCUGGGAAAGAUUCACUUUUGUGGUGUUUUGGUGGGGGAUGGGCUCGCGGCCUAUCAGCUUGUUGGUGGGGUGAUGGCCUGCCAAGGCUUUGACGGGUAGCCGGCCUGAGAGGGUGGGCGGUCACACUGGGACUGAGAUACGGCCCAGAAUCCUGCGGGAGGCAGCAGUGGGGGGUAUUGCACAAUGGGCGGAAGCCUGAUGCAGCGACGUCGCGUGAGGGAUGGAGGCCUUCGGGUUGUGAACCUCUUUCGCCGGUGAAGAAGGUCCUGCUCUUUGUGGUGGGGUUGACGGUAGCCGGGUUAUGAAGCGCCGGCUAACUACGUG
rnacentral:rRNA from 1 species